AGAGUAAAGGCCACACAGCCUUGAUGCAGGGGGGAGGACCUUGGACCUGCCUCAACUGAAUGUACCAGGCUUUGUUGACUCCCCAUGGGAGGACUUACCCUUUCAGGUUGAAGAGGCAAGUAUGGCAUCAGUCCUGCGGCCCUCCUGACAGGAUGAAGCAUGAUGUGCUCAGCCGGCUCCCCUAGUGGGCUGAGUUCGCUGUGGUCCCUGGUUCCAAAAGCACUCUGCUCCCUGGACUUGAAGCAAGACGAGACUAGUGACAAUAUUGAUGGAGUAGAGAAACCAGAGUCCUAGAGCACGAGACAGAAGAUGGCAGCAUGUUCAUGGCACCAUGAACUGGUGAGCUCAGUUCUUCUCAGAUACCAUCUGAUUCAGAAAUGGUUGCCUAAGAAUUCCUCAUGUUGAACAAUGGACCUCACCAGAGAGAAUGUUCUAAAAGAGUCAGUUUUAAAAAGCACAGGAGCUCUUCAAGCGCACAGCGCGUGGGGUCUUCCUGGAGGGCAAAGUGAGCUGCUCUGCUGGGGCUCACUCCGGCAGCUGAGUCACUUUCCGUGAGUCUCUGGGGAAAGCUCAGGUUGACACCAUGUAGUGGAACAGAAGGCAGCAGAUGGAAGACUCCUGGUUUCCAACCUGAGCAUUCCAGAUUAGCAGUUAACAAGACCCACUGAAACCCCACCACAUUUAGAACAGUGGAUUGGGAAAUGAAGAGAGUACUAUCAAGAUGUAGAGCUAUCAGAUCCUUCUCCAGUACCAUGUCUGCCUGCAAACCUCCAUGUUUCCUGCCAUGAUGAUAAUGGACUAAACCUCUGAAACUCUAUGCAACUUGAACCUGAGGAAUCUCUGACAACCACUCUGGACCGUGCCAAUGAGCCUCUGCUUAUCUGACCUCCUCCUCCUCCUCCUC